GAUAGAGGGGGCAAGCGUUGCUCGGAAUUACUGGGCGUAAAGGGCGCGUAGGCGGGAUGGCAAGUCGGUCGUGAAAUCCCUCGGCUCAACCGAGGAACGUCGAUCGAUACUGCUGUUCUUGAGGAUUGCAGAGGAGACUGGAAUUCCCGGUGUAGCGGUGAAAUGUGUAGAGAUCGGGAGGAACACCGGUGGCGAAGGCGGGUCUCUGGGCAAUUCCUGACGCUGAGGAGCGAAAGCCAGGGGAGCAAACGGG
rnacentral:rRNA from 1 species